CUUAUGUAUAUUUCAAUUUUGGUUUGUUUUUGUGGGAAAUUGGGAGUUUCAGUGUGACCAAUCUAGCGGCACAAAAAGUUCUUUUUCGCUUGUGCUAAGCGUGUACGGUUCAGUGUGAAUAAUUUUAACUUCAAUAUUAGUUGGAAUAGAAGCAAUACAAUAUGGCACAGUUCGACUUGACAUCAAAACUCGGCCAAUAUUUGGAUCGUCAUCUGGUUUUUCCCCUGCUGGAAUUCUUGUCGGCUCGAGGAAUUUACGAUGAAACCGAGUUACUUAAGGCAAAACUGGAAAUUCUCAGCAAAACAAACAUGAUAGAUUAUGUGAUUGAUAUCAGGAAACAGCUUUAUCCCAAUGAGGACAUUCCUGAAGAGAUGAAAGAGAGACGAACUCAUGUCCUAGCUGAAUUAACAGCACUGAGGGCUAAAGUUGAUACUAUCACCAAAAUUAUGAAUGAUGAUGAUGUUAUGAAGCAAAUGGAGAAUAUGAGAGAUUCCAAAGCUUUAAUAGGUUAUUUGGAAACAACACAUAAUUUUGAGAUUGAGAGUGUGGACAGCUUGUUUAAACUGGCUAGGUUCAGCUACGAGUGCGGCAACUACGCCUUCUCUUCGUCGUACCUAUACUUCUGCACGCUGGUGAUGCCCACAAACGACAAGGACUACCUGAGCUCAUUGUGGGGCAAACUGGCCUCUGAGAUCCUCGUGCACGACUUCGAUUCCGCAUUGGAAGACCUCACCAAGUUGCGCGACUAUAUCGAUUCAAGUCCAAACCCAUUUGGCGGAAACAGUUUGCAGUUAUUGCAGCAGAGGACUUGGUUCAUUCACUGGUCAUUGUUUGUGUUCUUCAAUCACGUGAUGGGCAGGGAAAUGAUCAUUGAGAUGUUUUUAUACAGGCCACAGUACCUGAAUGCCAUCCAGACUAUGUGUCCACAUAUUUUAAGAUACUUGGCCACUGCAGUCAUUAUCAACAGGGGCAGAAGGUCUGCCUUGAAAGAUUUGGUAAAAGUUAUCCAGCAGGAGAGCUAUACCUACAGAGAUCCGAUUACCGAGUUCCUGGAACAUUUAUAUGUCAAUUUCGACUUCGAUGGAGCCAGGCAGAAGCUGCAUGAAUGUCAAACUGUCUUGCACAACGAUUUCUUCCUCAUCUCAUGCCUGGAUGAAUUCGUAGAAAAUGCGCGUUUGAUGAUUUUCGAAACGUUCUGUCGCAUACACCAGUGCAUCAGCAUUGGAAUGUUGGCAGAGAAACUGAACAUGAAUCCAGAUGAGGCUGAAUGCUGGAUUGUUAAUUUGAUUAGAAAUGCUCGUUUAGACGCUAAAAUUGAUUCAAAAUUAGGACAUGUAGUUAUGGGGGCACAACCUCUCUCACCAUACCAACAACUAAUUGAAAAAAUUGAUUCUUUGUCUGUCCGGUCGGAGGCACUUUGCGGAGUUAUUGAUAGAAAACUUAAAGCGAGAACAGAUAUCCGUUGGGGUAACCAAGAGUUCUAACUUUUGUAUCCUGGAUUGUAUGUUUCUUAUUCUAUUCUGUUACCUUAUUAUUUUUUUCGUUUAAAAAUUCUGGACAAACAAAUUUUUAAAUGGUUUUAUAUGGCAAUUUCAGGAUUUUUAAAUUUCUUCUCUAUUUAGUAAGUAUUAUAUAAUAGCAAAGGGUUAUAAAAAAUAAAAUUGGUUCCAAAGUUUUAUUAAUAAAAACAUUUUUUUUAACAUAAUACCAAUAUAUAUAUAAUGUAUUUACCAGUUCAAUAAAUUAACAUACAUUUUA